rnacentral:tRNA from 1 species
AGUUGGCUCAGUGGUUAAGAGCACUGACUGUUCUUCCAGAGGUCCUGAGUUCAAAUCCCAGCAACUA